rnacentral:rRNA from 1 species
GGCGAACGGGUGCGUAACACGUGGGCAAUCUGCCGAGAAGUGGGGGAUAGCUCGCCGAAAGGCGAAUUAAUACCGCAUAUGAUCAGGGACGACAUCUUCCCAACAUCAAAGCCGGGGCAACCUGGCGCUUCUUGAUGAGCCCGCGGCCUAUCAGCUAGUUGGUGAGGUAACGGCUCACCAAGGCUUUGACGGGUAGCUGGUCUGAGAGGACGACCAGUCACACUGGAACUGAGACACGGUCCAGACACCUACGGGUGGCAGCAGUCGAGAAUUUUCUCAAUGGGGGAAACCCUGAAGGAGCGACGCCGCGUGGAGGAUGAAGGUCUUCGGGUUGUAAACUCCUGUCAUUUGGGAACAAGCGUCGGUACGUAACUACUACCGGCUUGAUAGUACCAGAAGAGGAAGAGACGGCUAACUCUGUGCCAGCAGCCGCGGUAAUACAGAGGUCUCAAGCGUUGUUCGGAUUCAUUGGGCGUAAAGGGUGCGUAGGUGGCGCUGUAAGUCAGGUGUGAAAUUUCGGAGCUUAACUCCGAAACUGCAUUUGAUACUGCGGUGCUUGAGGACUGGAGAGGAGACUGGAAUUUACGGUGUAGCAGUGAAAUGCGUAGAGAUCGUAAGGAAGACCAGUGGCGAAGGCGGGUCUCUGGACAGUUCCUGACACUGAGGCACGAAGGCCAGGGGAGCAAACGGGAUUAGAUACCCCGGUAGUCCUGGCAGUAAACGGUGCACGUUUGGUGUGGGGGGAUUCGACCCCUUCUGCGCCGGAGCUAACGCGUUAAACGUGCCGCCUGGGGAGUACGGUCGCAAGAUUAAAACUCAAAGAAAUUGACGGGGGCCCGCACAAGCGGUGGAGUAUGUGGCUUAAUUCGAUGCAACGCGAAGAACCUUACCUGGCCUUGACAUGCAUCUCUAAACCGGUGAAAGCCGGGGAGUCUCGAAAGAGACAAUUUGCACAGGUGCUGCAUGGCUGUCGUCAGCUCGUGUCGUGAGAUGUUGGGUUAAGUCCCGCAACGAGCGCAACCCUUGUGAACUGUUGCCACUCCCUUUGUUGGGAAGCACUCUGUUCAGACUGCCCUGUGAAACGGGGAGGAAGGUGAGGAUGACGUCAAGUCAGUAUGGCCCUUACGGCCAGGGCUGCACACGUACUACAAUGCCCAGUACAGAACGAUCCGAGACCGCAAGGUGGAGGAAAUCCAGUAAAACUGGGCCCAGU